GCAAGUCGAACGCGUUGGCCCAACUGAUUGAACGUGCUUGCACGGACUUGACGUUGGUUUACCAGCGAGUGGCGGACGGGUGAGUAACACGUAGGUAACCUGCCCCAAAGCGGGGGAUAACAUUUGGAAACAGAUGCUAAUACCGCAUAACAAUUUGAAUCGCAUGAUUCAAAUUUAAAAGAUGGUUUCGGCUAUCACUUUGGGAUGGACCUGCGGCGCAUUAGCUUGUUGGUAGGGUAACGGCCUACCAAGGCUGUGAUGCGUAGCCGAGUUGAGAGACUGAUCGGCCACAAUGGAACUGAGACACGGUCCAUACUCCUACGGGAGGCAGCAGUAGGGAAUCUUCCACAAUGGGCGCAAGCCUGAUGGAGCAACACCGCGUGAGUGAAGAAGGGUUUCGGCUCGUAAAGCUCUGUUGUUAGAGAAGAACGUGCGUGAGAGCAACUGUUCACGCAGUGACGGUAUCUAACCAGAAAGUCACGGCUAACUA
rnacentral:rRNA from 2 species